rnacentral:lncRNA from 1 species
GGUUGCAGGUCAAAUAUCAUUUGCGAUUCAAUUUGAUUUACUUUUCAAUAGAUUAUUAAUCCCAUUAGCCAAUUCAAAUUGAUCGGAACCCUAGACUGCAUGUCUAAUCUCUGUUUAUUCUGGCUUUUGCAGAUCAUUAAGCUCGUCUCGUCUUUUGUGACUCGUCUUCUUCGCUGUCAGCCAAUAUAAGCCCAAACCAUGAAAUCAUGGACAGAUCUUGGACGUAUUUUGCGUGCAACAUGGAACUUGAAGUAGAUGCUGAAGAAAAUGACCAUAACUCAAUUAUUACUCAUUAAUCAAUAUUCCUAUCUAGUGAUGGCUAGUGGUGCUGGCGGCAAGGUCUCUUUCAAGGUUAUCGCACCUCUGAUCCCAAGCUGCCAAUCAAAGUACUUAGCCCUCCAGAAGGAGCUCCUUUAGUGUUGCUCUUAAAUUUGCUGCUGAAUAAUUCAAAGUUCCUCAACAAACUAGUGCUGCCACCACCAACGGUGUUAAAGUGUGCAAGAUGCGGGUUUUAAGGAGCUUGAACGGAUGCUAGAAGCUGGCAUGAUCAAGAUGCGUGGGAACCAAGGGAAAUGAAGGAAACAAGAGCAAAAGGCCACUCAGGGCCGUAAACUACGGCCUCUGCCGUAGGCUACGGCACCUUGACAUUGGCCAAAAGUGUGCACCGUAAGACAGGAAACAAGCGCCGUAAAGAACAUUGGUCGCCGUAAGCUACGGCGAUGAGCCGUAGCGUACGGCACUAUGCUGAGUCCCGGAAUGAUAUUGACCGCCGUAAGCUACGGCACCUGGCGUAGCUUACGGCGCCGACUGAUCCAAACUCGUAACUCCUGCAUUGAUUGGCCAUUUUAUGGACAUUUUAUGGUUACUCAUCAUGGGUUUCGGUUACAAGCUGGUAGGGGACGAAUUUGGGCAUAAAUUAGAGACUUGGGAGCUAGAGAGAACAUCUUGGAACUAACUUUCACUAAAUCUUUGAUCACCUAUCAAACAAUCUUUAGCUUUUCAUUUAGUUUUUGUUGGUGAAACUUGUGAAGACUAUUUCCUUUUCAAUUGCUUGCAUUAUGUGUGUUAAAGCCAUGAGUGGCUAGAUACUUGAAUGGUUAUCUUAUGUUGAAGGUUUGUGGUAAACUUUUGUGUUUUUAUCUAUAUUUCUAGAAUAACAAUUCCUCUUCGUUU